GACGAACGCUGGCGGCGUGCUUAACACAUGCCAGUCGAACGGAAAGGCCCUGCUUUUGUGGGGUGCUCGAGUGGCGAACGGGUGAGUAACACGUGAGUAACCUGCCCUUGACUUUGGGAUAACUUCAGGAAACUGGGGCUAAUACCGGAUAGGAGCUCCUGCUGCAUGGUGGGGGUUGGAAAGUUUCGGCGGUUGGGGAUGGACUCGCGGCUUAUCAGCUUGUUGGUGGGGUAGUGGCUUACCAAGGCUUUGACGGGUAGCCGGCCUGAGAGGGUGACCGGCCACAUUGGGACUGAGAUACGGCCCAGACUCCUACGGGAGGCAGCAGUGGGGAAGAUUGCACAAUGGGCGGAAGCCUGAUGCAGCAACGCCGCGUGCGGGAGGACGGCCUUCGGGUUGUAAACCGCUUUCGCCUGUGACGAAGCGUGAGGGACGGUAAUGGGUAAAGAAGCACCGGCUAACUACGU
rnacentral:rRNA from 1 species